rnacentral:tRNA from 1 species
GGAGAGGUGCUAGAGCGGUCGAAUAGGCAGUCCUGGAAAGACUGUGUGCGGGAAACCGUACCGAGGGUUCGAAUCCCUCCCUCUCCG